GAAUGAGAUGAAAGAGAUUUUUGAGAAAUGAGCAAUCUAAUUCGAUUCAGUCGAGUCUGAGUCGAUGGAACUGUUCGUAAAUAAAAGAUUUGGAUGUCGGAUACCCCGUAUAAAGUGUCUUUAAAUCCUUCUAGAACAAUUGUAGACUCUAAAUCUGGUCAGAAUUAGUCGACACAUCUCACGUUAGCUUAGAUGUUGAGAUUUUAUUGAAAUAUUAUUCAUUUCUCUCUUGUUUCUCGAUUGGAAUUCUCUGUUGUUCACUAAAAUGUUAGGAUUAAACUGCGUAACGCUCUCGAACGAGUUCUCGAUGCCGAUAGAUGCGGUACGUUGCCGUCGUCGAAAAACCGCAAUUAUCCAUUUUGCGAGCGCAAGCCUACACGAGUUUUACAUGGCGCGUAAACGCCUCUUGUCCAUGAAGACGAGGAAAAGAGACGAAGUGAAAGAGGAAGCGAGAGAAUGAUAGAAGACGUUACUAUGUAUCGAGUCUAUAGGCCGACUUUCGCAGCCCGUACGAGACUUUUACGACAUUUCCACGUGGGAUAGGUCAGGGUCAACCUCGUCGAGGCUUCGACGGGGCGUCGUAACGCGUCGAGCAGAGUUUUGCUUGGACGACGUACCAGGACCGUCUUCCAAGCACGUUUAAUAAUCCUGACAAGCGAUGGGUUAAGCGCAAGAUGACUAAGUGCGAAACUAAUGUUCAAGAACGUGAAAUAGGAGGAAGCUCGAUUCUCUCGGCAUCUUUAACCCGUUUCACUUCAUGCAACGCAAUUAAAUCGUUGAAUAUCAGGCAAGACGUAUCUGAUUUGUUCAAGACUAGUGUUGAACCUGAGUGUCAAGAAAGAAAAAAGAAAAACGGUAAUUCCAAGUGGUCAAACGUGCAAUUCUUGCAGUUUCUCGUCAUGCUGAUAAAGAACUCUGUGCACAGCUUUGUCGUCGCGAUGCUAAUUACGCAGUGCUCGGUUGCAUGGACCUAUUUAACGCACUUAAAAAUAUCGCGAAGUUGAUUCGUAGUCUCACUCGUGUGCACACGUUCGUUUGUACAUGAUCACACUUGUGAUUAUUGUGUCUCUGGUAACUUUAUAGUAUCGGCUUGUUAACUGGGCUCGUACGGCAUUGUACGACGUUGUACGGUAUCAGAAAAUGAUGUUUAAGUGUUUCUUGGCAAUGAAACGAGUGCUAUUCAGCGCAUUCCGAGUAUUUUGCGACGAUAUUUCGUGACGAAGAUAAAACUUGUGUUAAGAUAUUUAAUAUAGCAUUAUAAUACCAAAAAUGGUUAACACCUUAACGUGCCUUCGGAGAAGAGGAUUUAUUUACGCUGACUUUUCGUAAUAGCACUGGCAACGAUUUGAUUCACUCUAGAAAGAAACUGUAUGACCUGAUCCGCUGCCAAAAUGCUAUUGCGUACUUAGAAAACACUGUUGCGUAUUUGGCAUCUAUUUUUUAAACGAGAACCGUGGGAUUCCGUAAUCGAUUCCAGCAAAGCGCAGACUAUACCCUCGCUAAUCGACUGCCGCCGCGGCUCGCUGCGUUCGAUGCUUCACAAGAGUAGCGUGAGAAAAAAAUUAUUACAGUCCAGUGCAACAAUCAUUCUUCUGCGAUCGAUCAAAAAGAAGCAUUCUGAAAAUGUUGUCUUUAAAUUCCUUAUUAAAAUUUGCUUUCAAUUAGUUUCACAUAUUUUAUUCCAAUUAUUUACAGAUUUUAUAAGGCACAAAAGACAUGUGUUUACAGUGAAGAGUUAAAAAUGUUAUAAGAAAGCGAUAGGAGAGAUAUUGAGAUUCUUAACCGAUCAGGAAUUGAUCGAUAGCACGAUAAGAUACGAUGCUGGGGAAAGUAAAGUGGAAAAUAAGAGACCUUUACCAGGAGAGGUGAUACUUCCGUCUCGACGAUUUUCAUGGAUCAGGAGCGAUUCGGAGGUCAAUUUGGAGCCGAAUCGAUUGGAGGCUGCCAGCCGGGCGACCUCGACCCCGACCCAUCCCAACCCCUAAUCUAGCUCAGGUGUCGUACCGGACCUAUUCUUUUAGAGAUUACGAAAGUGCUAUAUAGUAAGUACUUAACUGUUAUCUGCAUAGUAUUUUGUUCCAAGCUGGGUAACGAUUUUUAAUUUAAUCAGGUCGUAAAGAAGACCAAAUUCUUUCCGAAUAAAAUCGCUUUACUUAAGUAUAUAAACAAAUUUAUUUGAUUCAUUAAAAUGAUUAACUUUUUGAAUAAGAUGUAUAGAUUGUUCUACUCGAUUUGUGCGUGUAUGCGUUAAAAUAAAAUUUAAUAGCACUAUUGAUUUGCUGAAUUUUAUAAAUUAAAACAUAUGCAAUUCUACGUAUCUCUUUCUUACUUCCUUUCAUCAAAUUUUGAUUAAGUAUGUUAUUUUUAACCAUUGAUUAAUCCUAAGCAUGGACAACGUAAGAGAGCGGAGUACACAAAUCUAUCAUGGGCUCUGUCCACCCACGUGGCUUUGACAUAUUCCGAUGCCUGGUUGAGGGACACGACCGCGCGUGGCAGCACCUACUGUACAGCCUUUAGCACAAUGCUUUAGCACAGAAUAGAACCAAAAUUCUGAGACGGUGUCCAGCAUGCAACGAAUUUCUCAGAUGUAUUUCUCUAUUUUUUAAUAAAUAAGUUUUGCAAAAUAAUAUAGAGAAAGAGAGAGUGUGUAAUGGAGAAUAUAUGUAUCUAGUUGAGGAAAACCGACUUGAACAAUAUUAGAGCUGAUGAAUAGGAGAGAAAAGCCUAUCUCUUUGUUAUCUCCCACAUAUCAUGUAGAUCGGCCAUCAGUGCACGCGCGACUUAUCGAUCCGUCGUGACUUAAUUGAUUCCUUAGCGCGUGCAGCGAACCGCGUCGGGAAAUUUAUCCGUCUGCAAGAUUAACUCUGUUGCAGCGAUGAAUAAUAAGUCGCGCACACACGAGCGCAUUGUAGGGAACGCGUUGCACGUCGUCGCUCGAGAACCGGUUUGCAUCGCGCCAUUGAUCCGCUAACGCCGUUUUCUGUCUUAUUAGUGCGAAUGUGUUCAAAGUAAAUAGCGGAUCGGUACUACUCUUUCGCGAGAUAUCAGGCCAAUGCAUGCACUCGCUAUCCUAGUAUUCCACAUAAUUAUUGACAUUAUGAUUAUCUUCUCAAGCGGAAGAAGGUCAUUUUCCACGAUUUCUUGUAGA
rnacentral:lncRNA from 1 species